AGAGUUUGAUCCUGGCUCAGGACGAACGCUGGCGGCGUGCUUAAUACAUGCAAGUCGAACGAGAAAGUUUCCUUCGGGAAGCGAGUAGAGUGGCGCACGGGUGAGUAACGCGUAGGUAAUCUACCCUUGAGUUUGAGAUAACCCCGGGAAACUGGGGUUAAUAUUGAAUGAGGCGUCCACAUUGGAUUGUGGAUGUUAAAGAGGCCUUUGGUCUUGCUUGAGGAUGAGCCUGCGACCUAUCAGCUAGUUGGUGGUGUAAUGGACUACCAAGGCUUAGAUGGGUAGCUGGUCUGAGAGGAUGAUCAGCCACACUGGUAUUGAGAUAUGGGCCAGACUCCUACGGGAGGCAGCAGUAGGGAAUAUUGCGCAAUGGGCGAAAGCCUGACGCAGCGACGCCGCGUGAGUGAUGAAGGCAUUUUUUGUCGUAAAGCUCUGUAAGGAGGGAAGAACGGCACCUGGUAAUGCAGGUGAUUGACGGUACCUCCAAAGUAAGGACCGGCUAAAUAUGUGUUAGUAGCCGUGGUAAUACGUAUGGUCCGAGCGUUGUCCGGAAUGACUGGGCGUAAAGGGUGCGUAGGUUGAAAUAUAUGUCAGGUGUGAAAUCCCACGGUUUAACCGUGGAACUGCGCUUGAAACUAUAUUUCUAGAGUAUGUCAGAGGUAAGCGGAAUUCCCGGAGUAGUGGUGAAAUGUGUAGAGAUUGGGAAGAAUACCAGUGGUGAAGGUGGCUUACUGGGACAUAACUGACACUGAGGCACGAAAGCGUGGGGAGCGAAUGGGAUUAGAUAUCUUGGUAGUCCACGCCGUAAACGAUGUAUACUAGAUGUCAGGGAUAUUCAAAUCCUUGGUGUCGAAGCUAACGUGAUAAGUAUACCGCCUGGGGAGUACGGUCGCAAGAUUAAAAUUUAAAGGAAUUGACGGGGGCCCGCACAAGCGGUGGAGCAUGUGGUUUAAUUCGAUGCAACGCGCAGAACCUUACCCAGACUUGACAUCCUUCUGAUAGAUUUUAGAAAUAGAUUUUUCCUCUUUGGAGGCAGGAGUGACAGGUGCUGCAUGGCUGUCGUCAGCUCGUGUUGUGAGAUGUUGGGUUAAGUCCCGUAACGAGCGCAACCCUUGUCUUUAGUUGCCAUCAUUUAGUUGGGCACUCUAAAGAGACUGCCCGGGUUAACCGGGAGGAAGGUGGGGAUGACGUCAAGUCCUCAUGGCCCUUAUGUCUGGGGCUACAUAUGUGUUAUAAUGGUAUAGAUAAAGUGAAGUUAGAUAGCAAUGUUCUGCGAAUUAUAAAAAUUAUAUCCCAGUUUGGAUUGGAGUCUGUAAUUUGACUCCAUGAAGUUGGAAUCGCUAGUAAUCGCGGAUCAGUAUGCCGCGGUGAAUACGUUCCCGGGCCUUGUAUAUAUUGCCCGUCACACCAUGGGAGUUGUUCUCACUGGACGACGUUGAGCUAGCCUUCGGGAGGCAGGCGUUAAUGAUGAGGAUAGCGACUGGGGUGAAGUCGAAAUAAGGUA
rnacentral:rRNA from 1 species